rnacentral:rRNA from 1 species
AUUGAACGCUGGCGGCAUGCCUUACACAUGCAAGUCGAACGGCAGCACGGGAGCAAUCCUGGUGGCGAGUGGCGAACGGGUGAGUAAUAUAUCGGAACGUGCCCGGUCGUGGGGGAUAACGUAGCGAAAGCUACGCUAAUACCGCAUACGAUCUACGGAUGAAAGCGGGGGAUCGCAAGACCUCGCGCGAUUGGAGCGGCCGAUAUCAGAUUAGGUAGUUGGUGAGGUAAAGGCUCACCAAGCCGACGAUCUGUAGCUGGUCUGAGAGGACGACCAGCCACACUGGGACUGAGACACGGCCCAGACUCCUACGGGAGGCAGCAGUGGGGAAUUUUGGACAAUGGGCGGCAAGCCUGAUCCAGCAAUGCCGCGUGCAGGAUGAAGGCCUUCGG